UGCAACAUCCCAGGCACAUGUACAGUCUUAUUAUAUAUAUUUUUUUGGGGGGGGGAGGUUGACGCGCAGCCAACGAGAAGGCAGCGCGGCGAGCAGCUCCCAUCCGGGUACUUCCCUCUCCGGGUUACUGUACUACAGUACAGAGACGCGGCGGCGACACUAGCAGAACUGGUUUCAGAAGAAGUGUCCCGAACCCCCUGAAGUUGACAAACUGUCUCGCCGGCGUUUCUGCAUUUCACUGUCCUCGCUGUUCCAGCCGAGCCGUCCAAACCCGCAGACGGGCUGAUGCCAAGAAGUGGAUUCCGAUUUCUUGCACGUCUGUGUGGCAAGUAUUACCCUAUUGUGGGAGGGGGGGAGAGAGACGCAAAUUAUUUUUUAAAAGGGUACAUAAGC